rnacentral:rRNA from 1 species
AUUGAACGCUGGCGGAAUGCUUUACACAUGCAAGUCGAACGGCAGCAUAGGUGCUUGCACCUGAUGGCGAGUGGCGAACGGGUGGGUAAUACAUCGGAACGUGCCCAGUCGUUGGGGAUAACGUAGGCAAAGUUACGCUAAUACAGCAUACGAUCUAAGGAUGAAAGCGGGGGACCGGAAGGCCUCGCGCGAUUGGAGCGGCCGACGUCAGAUUAGGUAGUUGGUGAGGUAAAGGCUCACAAAGGCGACGAUCUGUAGCUGGUCUGGGAGGACGAACAGCGACACUGGGACUGAGACACCGCCCAGACUCCUACGGGGGGCAGCAGUGGGGAAUUUUGAACAUUGGACGCGAGUCUGAUCCAGCCAUUCCGCGUGCAGGACGAAGGCAUUCGGGUUGUAAACUGCUUUUGUACGGAACGAAAAAGCUCUUACUAAUACUAGGAGUCCAUGACGGUACCGUAAGAAUAAGCACCGGCUAACUACGUGCCAGCCGCCGCAGUAA